AUUGAACGCUGGCGGCAUGCCUUACACAUGCAAGUCGAACGGCAGCACGGGGCAACCUGGUGGCGAGUGGCGAACGGGUGAGUAAUGCAUCGGAACGUACCUUUCAGUGGGGGAUAACGUAGCGAAAGUUACGCUAAUACCGCAUAUUCUGUGAGCAGGAAAGCAGGGGAUCGCAAGACCUUGCGCUGAUUGAGCGGCCGAUGUCAGAUUAGCUAGUUGGUGAGGUAAAGGCCCACCAAGGCGACGAUCUGUAGCGGGUCUGAGAGGAUGAUCCGCCACACUGGAACGGAGACACGGUCCAGACUCCUACGGGCGGCAGCAGUGGGGAAUUUUGGACAAUGGGGGCAACCCUGAUCCAGCCAUGCCGCGUGAGUGAAGAAGGCCUUCGGGUUGUAAAGCUCUUUCGGCCGGGAAGAAAUCGCACGGGCUAAUACCCUGUGUGGAUGACGGUACCGGAAUAAGAAGCACCGGCUAACUACGUGCCAGCCGCCGCAGUAACAC
rnacentral:rRNA from 1 species